AUACUUAAAUGGCAGGGGAAAUAUCCAAUCAAGAGGGUGGUUUCCCCAGGAUGAAGCUCUUCCAGUGUAAUCUUCGGUUGGGUAGACACCUGUGAUUUCUAAAGAUGUAGGAAACUCAACUGCAUAAUUUAUGAUAGCGAGGGACUGCAUUCAUGCAGUCCUCUA